AAGAAAUUCAAGCUGUUUACUAUUCAUGUCAUGAACUCUAGUGACAUGGUGCAAAAUCAGUCAUCUACACAUUGCGGUGCUGUUGUCUCAGGCUGUUUUUCUGCAAAGCAUUACCAGUAUUAUGAACUCGUCAUUGGAGCGAGCAGCCCUCCAAACUUCAUGCUUAAGUGGUCCACAGUGGCAAGUGGCGCCUGCAAUCGCAAGAGCAACAUGAAUUUCUAAGUCAACUUUACAUUAUGUAACAUUCACUUUUGCAGGCUUCAAAUAUUUAUACCUUUAGAAAUUUUAACCUUAAACUAUGCAUAAUUAUAUCGCAAGAGCAACAUGAAUUUCUAAGUCAACUUUACAUUAUGUAACAUUCACUUUUGCAGGCUUCAAAUAUUUAUACCUUUAGAAAUUUUAGCCUUAAACUAUGCAUAAUUAUAUGGAAAUUUUUUCCUACAACGCAUAUACAAAUAGAAACAUUAUAACCGUUAUUUCAAUAACUGUUAAUAGUUUAUGUUAUUGAUGUACUCAUGAUCAGAGCUUGAAGUGCAAAAUUAAAGCAAGUAACGUGUGUUUAAAACUUCACAAUAUACAAUGCGCAACUAUCCCUUCCAAGUCAUUGUAUUCUUGUCACCAUCAAUUCAAUGAUCAUUUUAACAUGUAGCAGGAUGCAAUUGAUGUUACGUACAACAUUGGUUAUUAAAGUGCCAUGUAUAUAUGCUAUGAAGAACUCCUUCUAACAUGUCACUGUAGAAACGUAU